GAUCUCACCUUCCUCUGACUUUCCAUAGCACUUCUUAUCUCGCUUUCAUCUGUCACUUGGUCAGAUUUUGUUUGCUUUUAAUAUUUUUGCCUAAUCUCUUCAACUAGAGACAAUAACCAUUUAUUAACUUUUUAAUAACCCUCACUGCUAGCACAAUGCCUGGCACAUGACAUGUAUUCAAAAUAUAUUUGCAGAUAUACCCAAGUUUGUUUGGAUUUUCUUCUCUAUUUCGGCUCUUUUAAGGUUCCAUAUGAUUUUUAAAAUUAGUUUUUUUCUGGUUCUGUGAAGAAUCUCAAUGGUAGAUUCCUAG
rnacentral:lncRNA from 1 species